UCCGGUUUGUCACCGGCAGUCUCCUUAGAGUGCCCUUGCGUAGCAACUAAGGACAAGGGUUGCGCUCGUUGCGGGACUUAACCCAACAUCUCACGACACGAGCUGACGACAGCCAUGCAGCACCUAGUUUCGGGUCAUUGCUGACUAACUCCUUUCAGAGUUAUUCCCUAACCUUCAAGCCCUGGUAAGGUUCCUUGCGUAUCAUCGAAUUAAACCACAUGCUCCUCCGCUUGUGCGGGCCCCCGUCAAUUCCUUUGAGUUUCACCGUUGCCGGCGUACUCUCCAGGUGGAUUACUUAUCGCUUUCGCUAAGCCACUGAAAGUUACCUUCCAGCAGCGAGUAAUCAUCGUUUACAGUGCGGACUAC
rnacentral:misc_RNA from 1 species